rnacentral:rRNA from 1 species
GACGAACGCUGGCGGCGUGCCUAAUACAUGCAAGUAGAACGCUGAAGACUUUAGCUUGCUAAAGUUGGAAGAGUUGCGAACGGGUGAGUAACGCGUAGGUAACCUGCCUACUAGCGGGGGAUAACUAUUGGAAACGAUAGCUAAUACCGCAUAACAGCAUUUAACCCAUGUUAGAUGCUUGAAAGGAGCAAUUGCUUCACUAGUAGAUGGACCUGCGUUGUAUUAGCUAGUUGGUGAGGUAACGGCUCACCAAGGCGACGAUACAUAGCCGACCUGAGAGGGUGAUCGGCCACACUGGGACUGAGACACGGCCCAGACUCCUACGGGAGGCAGCAGUAGGGAAUCUUCGGCAAUGGGGGCAACCCUGACCGAGCAACGCCGCGUGAGUGAAGAAGGUUUUCGGAUCGUAAAGCUCUGU